rnacentral:rRNA from 1 species
CUACGGGACGCAGCAGUGGGGAAUAUUGCACAAUGGGCGCAAGCCUGAUGCAGCCAUGCCGCGUGUAUGAAGAAGGCCUUCGGGUUGUAAAGUACUUUCAGCGGGGAGGAAGGGAGUAAAGUUAAUACCUUUGCUCAUUGACGUUACCCGCAGAAGAAGCACCGGCUAACUCCGUGCCAGCAGCCGCGGUAAUACGGAGGGUGCAAGCGUUAAUCGGAAUUACUGGGCGUAAAGCGCACGUAGGCGGUUUGUUAAGUCAGAUGUGAAAUCCCCGGGCUCAACCUGGGAACUGCAUCUGAGACUGGCAAGCUUGAGUCUCGUAGAGGGGGGUAGAAUUCCAGGUGUAGCGGUGAAAUGCGUAGAGAUCUGGAGGAAUACCGGUGGCGAAGGCGGCCCCCUGGACGAAGACUGACGCUCAGGUGCGAAAGCGUGGGGAGCAAACAGGAUUAGAUACCCCCGUAGUC